UUUUUAAUUUUUCCCCAUACUAAAUAAAUCAUAACUCAUUCAUUUUUUGUCCAAAUAAUAUGAGGUUUUUUCCACCAUGAUCCUUGCCAUGUCCUUUAUUUUUUGAUGAUUUUUAAUGAAUUUGUGCACGGUUGGAAAAAAAUAUUUGGCUAGGGUUUGUUUUCACAUGUCAUUUGUUGCACCAUCCUUACUCUUUUGAUCAUGAAAUGAUGAUGCUU
rnacentral:lncRNA from 1 species